rnacentral:rRNA from 1 species
GUGGGGAAUAUUGGACAAUGGGCGAAAGCCUGAUCCAGCCAUGCCGCGUGUGUGAAGAAGGUCUUCGGAUUGUAAAGCACUUUAAGUUGGGAGGAAGGGCAGUAAGUUAAUACCUUGCUGUUUUGACGUUACCGACAGAAUAAGCACCGGCUAACUUCGUGCCAGCAGCCGCGGUAAUACGAAGGGUGCAAGCGUUAAUCGGAAUUACUGGGCGUAAAGCGCGCGUAGGUGGUUUUGUAAGUUGGAGGUGAAAUCCCCGGGCUCAACCUGGGAACUGCCUCCAAAACUGCAUGACUAGAGUACGGUAGAGGGUAGUGGAAUUUCCUGUGAAGCGGUGAAAUGCGUAGAUAUAGGAAGGAACACCAGUGGCGAAGGCGACUACCUGGACUGAUACUGACACUGAGGUGCGAAAGCGUGGGGAGCAAACAGGAUUAGAAACCCUGGUAGUCC